rnacentral:rRNA from 1 species
CGCGUGCGUGUAUCAGUUUGUUCUGUGCUGCGCGUGGUUGUGGGUGCUUGUGCCGGUGCCCUGUGCUUUGGUGGGACGUCAGAGUCAGUUCGUAUGCUGCGGGAAAUGGUCGUGCAGGAGGUAGGUCGGGGGCUUGCUCUCGGCUGUUAUAUCUGUGCGUGCCAGUAGUCGUGGCUGGGACUGAGGUGCCUACAACGUGCUUUUGAGUCUUUGGGUCGCUCUGUGCGCGCGCGUGCGGGAUAGCUUGCUAUGCCGUGUGCGUUUUGCGUGUGGAUGGCGUGCUCUCUGCAACUUGUUGCCGUUCGGGACUUUGACGAAAUGGCGCGWUCCGACCCGUCUUGAAACACGGACCAAGGAGUCUAACAUGUGUGCAAGUGUUGGGGUGUGGAAACCCAAGCGCGAAAUGAAAGUAAAGGGCAGCGUUGGUUGUCUGAGGUAGGAAACCUUUGUCUUCGGGCGUGGGUGGCACUAUCGACCGAUCAUGAACCUUCGUGGUGAAAGAUUUGAGUAUGAGCACAUAUGUUGGUACCCGAAAGAUGGUGAACUAUGCCUGAGUAGGGUGAAGCCAGGGGAAACUCUGGUGGAAGCUCGUAGCGAUUCUGACGUGCAAAUCGAUCGUCAAACUUGGGUAUAGGGGCGAAAGACUAAUCGAACCAUCUAGUAGCUGGUUCCCUCCGAAAUUUCCCUCAGGAUAGCAGCAACUUAUUUACGAUAGUUUUAUGAGGUAAAGCGAAUGAUUAGAGGACUCGGGGAAGAAACUUCCUUGACCUAUUCUCAAACUUUAAAUCUGUAAGACCUGCAGGUUUCUUAAUUGAACUUGCGGA